rnacentral:rRNA from 1 species
GGUCCGAGUUGUAAUUUGUAGAGGAUGCUUCGAGCAUGGUCUGGCCUAAGUUCCUUGGAACAGGACGUCAUAGAGGGUGAGAAUCCCGUAUGCGGCCAGGUGCCUACGCUCAUGUGAAGCUCCUUCGACGAGUCGAGUUGUUUGGGAAUGCAGCUCAAAAUGGGUGGUAAAUUUCAUCUAAAGCUAAAUAUUGGCCAGAGACCGAUAGCGCACAAGUAGAGUGAUCGAAAGAUGAAAAGCACUUUGGAAAGAGAGUUAAACAGUACGUGAAAUUGUUGAAAGGGAAGCGCUUGCAACCAGACUUGCGCGCGGCCGAUCAUCCGGUGUUCUCACCGGUGCACUCGGCCGUGCUCAGGCCAGCAUCGGUUUUGGCGGCUGGAUAAAGGCCCUAGGAAUGUAGCUCCUCUCGGGGAGUGUUAUAGCCUAGGGUGCAAUGCAGCCUGCUGGGACCGAGGACCGCGCUUCGGCUAGGAUGCUGGCGUAAUGGUUGUAAGCGGCCCGUCUUGAAACACGGACCAAGGAGUCUAACAUCUAUGCGAGUGUUUGGGUGUCAAACCCAUACGCGUAAUGAAAGUGAACGGAGGUGAGAACCCUUAAGGGUGCAUCAUCG